rnacentral:rRNA from 1 species
UACAGAGGUCCCAAGCGUUGUUCGGAUUUACUGGGCGUAAAGGGUGCGUAGGUGGUCGGGUAAGUCUCAUGUGAAAUCCCGCAGCUUAACUGCGGAAUGGCAUGGGAUACUAUUCGGCUCGAGGAUUGGAGGGGGGACUGGAAUUCCCGGUGUAGCAGUGAAAUGCGUAGAUAUCGGGAGGAACACCAGUGGCGAAGGCGAGUCCCUGGACAAUUCCUGACGCUGAGGCACGAAAGCCAGGGGAGCAAACAGG